UGCGCAGGCGGGCCGGUAAGUACCUUGUGAAAUCCCUCGGCUCAACCGAGGAACUGCUUGGUAUACUGCCGGCCUUGAGCGUGGUAGGGGCGGUCGGAACGGUAGGUGGAGCGGUGAUAUGCGUAGAUAUCUACCGGAGCGCCAAAGGUGAAGACAGGCCGCUGGGCCACUGCUGACGCUCAGGCACGAAAGCGUGGGGAGCGAACG
rnacentral:rRNA from 1 species